GGUGUUGCUAUCAGUGCCAUCUUGGCAGUGACUGCUGUGGGUGCGGCUGUCUGGAGGAUGAAGCGUGCCAAAAAGAAGACGAGACAGACAUGGACAUGGGACAGAGCUAAGAAAAGGUAAGA